UACGGAGGAUGCGAGCGUUAUCCGGAUUUAUUGGGUUUAAAGGGUGCGUAGGCGGACUGUCAAGUCAGCGGUAAAAUUGAGAGGCUCAACCUCUUCCCGCCGUUGAAACUGGUGGUCUUGAGUGGAUGAGAAGUACGCGGAAUGCGUGGUGUAGCGGUGAAAUGCAUAGAUAUCACGCAAAACUCCGAUUGCGAAGGCAGCGUACCGGCAUCCAACUGACGCUGAGGCACGAAAGCGUGGGGAUCAAACAGG
rnacentral:rRNA from 1 species